rnacentral:rRNA from 1 species
CCUACGGGUGGCAGCAGUGGGGGAUAUUGCACAAUGGGGGAAACCCUGAUGCAGCGACGCCGCGUGAGUGAAGAAGUAAUUCGUUAUGUAAAGCUCUAUCAGCAGGGAAGAAAAUGACGGUACCUGUGUGAGAAGCCCCGGCGAAAUACGUGCCAGCAGCCGCGGUAAUACGGAGGGGGCAAGCGUUAUCCGGAUUUACUGGGGGUAUAGGGAGCGUAGACGGCAGUGCAAGUCUGAAGUGAAAGGCCGGGGCUCAACCCCCGGACUGCUCUGGAAACUGUACGGCUGGAGUGCAGGAGAGGUAAGUGGAAUUCCUAGUGUAGCGGUGAAAUGCGUAGAUAUUAGGAGGAACACCAGUGGCGAAGGCGGCUUACUGGACGGUAACUGACGUUGAGGCUCGAAAGCGUGGGGAGCAAACAGGAUUAGAUACCCGGGUAGUC